AUGAGCCAGUCACAAGGGGAAGCAGGUAUUUUCUCCGAGAUUCAGCUGGUGGAAUCCGAAGGAGGCAUCAAAACUCCUGGGAAUGCCUUUCGUCUGACUUGCACAGCAUCUGGAUUUUCAGUUACUGAUUAUGGGGUGAAUUGGGUCCACCAGACAGCUGGAAAGGCACUUCAGUGGAUGGGGGUUCACUGGGGUGGAGGGUCUAUUGAUUACAACCCUUCCUUAAGGUCACGGAUCAGCAUCAGUCGUGAAGCAACAAAAAACCAAGUAUAUCUGCAUGUGAAUGAUGCUUCAGAAGAUGACAGUGGAACCUAUUACUGUGCCAUUAGAUAUGGAGCAAGCACAGUGACUUAA